GACGAACGCUGGCGGCGUGCUUAACACAUGCAAGUCGAACGGAAAGGCCCUGCUUUUGUGGGGUGCUCGAGUGGCGAACGGGUGAGUAACACGUGAGUAACCUGCCCUUGACUUUGGGAUAACUUCAGGAAACUGGGGCUAAUACCGGAUAGGAGCUCCUGCUGCAUGGUGGGGGUUGGAAAGUUUCGGCGGUUGGGGAUGGACUCGCGGCUUAUCAGCUUGUUGGUGGGGUAGUGGCUUACCAAGGCUUUGACGGGUAGCCGGCCUGAGAGGGUGACCGGCCACAAUGGGACUGAGAUAAGGCCCAGACUCCUACGGGAGGCAGGAGGUGGGAAUAUUGCACAAUGGGCGGAAGCCUGAUGCAGCAACGCCGCGGGCGGGAUGACGGCCUUCGGGUUGUAAACCGCUUUCGCCUGUGACGAAGCGUGAGUGACGGUAAUGGGUAAAGAAGCACCGGCUAACUACGUG
rnacentral:rRNA from 1 species